UACAGAGGGGGCAAGCCUUGUUCGGAAUUACUGGGCGUAAAGGGCGCGUAGGCGGCCGCCUAAGUCAGACGUGAAAUCCCUCGGCUCAACCGGGGAACUGCGUCUGAUACUGGGUGGCUUGAAUCCGGGAGAGGGAUGCGGAAUUCCAGGUGUAGCGGUGAAAUGCGUAGAUAUCUGGAGGAACACCGGUGGCGAAGGCGGCAUCCUGGACCGGCAUUGACGCUGAGGCGCGAAAGCCAGGGGAGCAAACGGG
rnacentral:rRNA from 1 species